rnacentral:rRNA from 1 species
UCUAGUGGCGCACGGGUGCGUAACGCGUGGGAAUCUGCCCCUUGGUUCGGAAUAACAGUUAGAAAUGACUGCUAAUACCGGAUGACGACGAAAGUCCAAAGAUUUAUCGCCGAGGGAUGAGCCCGCGUAGGAUUAGCUAGUUGGUGAGGUAAUGGCUCACCAAGGCGACGAUCCUUAGCUGGUCUGAGAGGAUGAUCAGCCACACUGGGACUGAGACACGGCCCAGACUCCUACGGGAGGCAGCAGUGGGGAAUAUUGGACAAUGGGCGAAAGCCUGAUCCAGCAAUGCCGCGUGAGUGAUGAAGGCCUUAGGGUUGUAAAGCUCUUUUACCAGGGAUGAUAAUGACAGUACCUGGAGAAUAAGCUCCGGCUAACUCCGUGCCAGCAGCCGCGGUAAUACGGAGGGAGCUAGCGUUGUUCGGAAUUACUAGGCGUAAAGCGCACGUAGGCGG